rnacentral:rRNA from 1 species
UAGGGAAUCUUCGGCAAUGGACGAAAGUCUGACCGAGCAACGCCGCGUGAGUGAAGAAGGUUUUCGGAUCGUAAAACUCUGUUGUUAGAGAAGAACAAGGACGUUAGUAACUGAACGUCCCCUGACGGUAUCUAACCAGAAAGCCACGGCUAACCACGUGCCAGCAGCCGCGGUAAUACGUAGGUGGCAAGCGUUGUCCAGAUUUAUUGGGCGUAAAGCGAGCGCAGGCGGUUUCUUAAGUCUGAUGUGAAAGCCCCCGGCUCAACCGGGGAGGGUCAUUGGAAACUGGGAGACUUGAGUGCAGAAGAGGAGAGUGGAAUUCCAUGUGUAGCGGUGAAAUGCGUAGAUAUAUGGAGGAACACCAGUGGCGAAGGCGGCUCUCUGGUCUGUAACUGACGCUGAGGCUCGAAAGCGUGGGGAGCAAACAGG